rnacentral:rRNA from 1 species
UACGAAGGGGGGCUAGCGUUGUUCGGAUUUACUGGGCGUAAAGCGCGUGUAGGCGGCAACGCAAGUCGGGCGUGAAAUCCCACGGCUCAACCGUGGAAGUGCACUCGAAACUGCGUAGCUAGAGUCCUGGAGAGGAAGGUGGAAUGCUUGGUGUAGAGGUGAAAUUCGUAGAUAUCAAGCGGAACACCAGUGGCGAAGGCGGCUCACUGGCCCCGUUACCGGACGCUCAGGCGCGACAGGCGUGGGGAGCAAACAGGG